rnacentral:ncRNA from 1 species
AAACGUCUUCAGGGCGGGGUGCGAUUCCCCACCGGCGGUAGGUGCCUCUGGCACGAGCCCGCGAGCGCUCCGGCAGGGUCACCCCGGCAGGAGGUCAGCAGAUCCGGUCCGAUGCCGGAGCCGACGGUCAUAGUCCGGAUGAAAGAAGACGGUG